UGUCAUAUCUCUAUGUUGCGGAUUUUAUCAAGGUCUUACAAGAAAAACAUGCAUCCAACACCUACGCAAAAAUGACCUCAAUAUUUAUGUCACAACAGCAUCUAAUGCAGAAGAAAGCACCUGGGGUACAUACUGCCCAGGAAUGGAGCCAUCGCCUCCUUCUGAGUAUAUUACCUGCUUAGGUGAUCUCUACAGUAUUUCCUGGAUGGAAGACAGGGAGAUUCAGGGAAGAAGUGAGGUGCAUAAAGUAUAACAACAAG